UCAGGAACGGUUCGUGCGCCGGACCGACCCCGGGUCCCUCUUCCCCGAGGCGCAGGGGUGGGGUCGGCUCCCGGCCGGCUCCGCGCUCUCGGGUUCCUUCCUCAUUGGGCACCGCCCACCUCGUGGGCUUCCAGGUGCGAGCCCUCACGCCGGGCCGAUUUUCCCCGAAGGGCGGCGGCGGGCCAGAGGAGACGCCCGGGGCCUCGUGGCGCGCGCGUCCGCGGCCAGGGCCGGUGCGUGGGUGCGCGGAGAAAGCGGCUGGGCGAGGAGCCUCUGUUCCCAGGCCUCGGGUGCCCGCCAAGGGCCACGCGGGCGCGGGGGAAACCCAGAACUUCCCGCCCGGGAACGACUGCCCCCGCUCCGGGCUCUGGCUGGCUAGGGGGAUGUUCUCGCGAGAGGAGAGGGGGCGCGGGGCGCCGCGGGUUUGGGGGCGCGGGGAAGCCUGAGGACGAGGGCCGGGCAGGGAGGGGAGCAGAGGCGGCGGGCAGGGCCGGGGACGCGGGGAAGCCGCUCCCGCCAGUCGCCGAGAGCCAGCCCCUGACGUCAGGAGUUUUCCUCAAAGUCAACAACAAGCCCCGCGGCGGCGGCGAGAACCGAUCGGCGGCCGCCCCGAGCGGGAGGAAGGAGGGGGCGGGGAGGCGGCGAGGGUCCCCUCGGCGAGGCGCAGCCCAGGAGGAGGCCGCAGACCCCCACCCCGCUCCGGGCGCGCCCGGGGGCCUAGAGCCGCCGCCCCUCCGGCGUGACCCGGCCCCCGCCCGAGCGGUGUUUUCUGGUGAUGAAUUUGUAGCCGAUAUCCGAUUCCCAAGUAGAGUCUCCGCCUCCUCCUCUCCCCGCCGCCGCCCUCUCUCCUCCCUCCCCCUCCCGCCGCCGCCGCCGCCGCCUCCCGCUCCAGCUCCGCGGCCCGGCCCGGCCGGCUCCCUCCCUCCCUCCCCUGCAGCCCUUCGCUUGCCCUCCCGCCGGCCGCACCGGGCUCCAGGAGACCAGAGGCUCUGUGGGGUGGGGGGAGGACAGGAGGGGAGGAGGAGGGAGGGGGGACCCCCGAGUCGCCCCCUCUCCUCCCCCCGCCCCCCCGGCUCCAUCCUCCGCCGCCGCCCGAGCAGCUGCGGGGCCGCCGCCGCCGCCUUUGCAGGUAACAGCCACCGCCCCCCACUCUCGUCCCCUCCCCGCCUGGCCUCCACUCCCUCCAGGUCCCCGGCCCGGGUGCGCCCUCCCUGCCACCUUCGGGCGGGGGGUGGCGGCGGGGUGGGGUGA
rnacentral:lncRNA from 13 species